CGCUUAUUAGUUUAAUGGUAUAACGCACAUACUGCACUUGUGAAUUCUCGGUUCAAUUCCCAGAUAAGCCU